ACGAACGCUGGCGGCGCGCCUAACACAUGCAAGUCGAACGAGCGAGAGAGAGCUUGCUUUCUCGAGCGAGUGGCGAACGGGUGAGUAACGCGUGAGGAACCUGCCUCAAAGAGGGGGACAACAGUUGGAAACGACUGCUAAUACCGCAUAAGCCCACGGCUCGGCAUCGAGCAGGGGGAAAAGGAGCAAUCCGCUUUGAGAUGGCCUCGCGUCCGAUUAGCUAGUUGGUGGGGUAACGGCCCACCAAGGCGACGAUCGGUAGCCGGACUGAGAGGUGGAACGGCCACAUUGGGACUGAGACACGGCCCAGACUCCUACGGGAGGCAGCAGUGGGGAAUAUUGCACAAUGGGGGAAACCCUGAUGCAGCGACGCCGCGUGGAGGAAGAAGGUCUUCGGAUUGUAAACUCCUGUUGUUGGGGAAGAUAAUGACGGUACCCAACAAGGAAGUGACGGCUAACUACGUG
rnacentral:rRNA from 1 species